AGCAGCCGCGGUAAUUCCAGCUCCAAUAGCGUAUAUUAAAGUUGCUGCAGUUAAAAAGCUCGUAGUUGAAUUUCGGGACUAAUAUGUCGGUCGUGCCUCGGUACGUACUGGCUUAUUGGUUUCUCCUUUCUGAAGAACCAUGAUGUCAUUUAUUUGGUGUCGUGGGGAAUCAGGACUGUUACUUUGAAAAAAUUAGAGUGUUUAAAGCAGGCUCACGCUUGAAUACAUUAGCAUGGAAUAAUGAAAUAGGACGUUUGAUUCUAUUUUGUUGGUUUCUAGGAUCGACGUAAUGAUUAAUAGGGAUAGUUGGGGGCAUUAGUAUUCAAUUGUCAGAGGUGAAAUUCUUGGAUUUAUUGAAGACUAACUACUGCGAAAGCAUUUGCCAAGGAUGUUUUCAUUAAUCAAGAACGAAAGUUAGGGAUCGAAGACGAUCAGAUACCGUCGUAGUCUUAACCAUAAACUAUGCCGACUAGGGAUCGGAUGAUGUUUAAUUUUUAAUGACUCAUUCGGCGCCUUAAC
rnacentral:misc_RNA from 1 species